rnacentral:rRNA from 1 species
CACCGCGGUUAUACGAGAGACUCAAGUUGACAAACCUCGGCGUAAAAGUGGUCAAGGUCAAACCUACUAAAGCCAAACAUCCCCUUAGCUGUUAUACGCUUUCGGAGGAAUGAAGCCCACACACGAAAGUAGCUCUACCCCCCCCCUGAACCCACGAGAGCUAAAAA